rnacentral:rRNA from 1 species
GACGAACGCUGGCGGCGUGCCUAAUACAUGCAAGUCGAGCGGCAGCAUAGGAGCUUGCUCCUGAUGGCGAGUGGCGAACGGGUGAGUAAUAUAUCGGAACGUGCCCUAGAGUGGGGGAUAACUAGUCGAAAGACUAGCUAAUACCGCAUACGAUCUACGGAUGAAAGUGGGGGAUCGCAAGACCUCAUGCUCCUGGAGCGGCCGAUAUCUGAUUAGCUAGUUGGUGGGGUAAAAGCUCACCAAGGCGACGAUCAGUAGCUGGUCUGAGAGGACGACCAGCCACACUGGGACUGAGACACGGCCCAGACUCCUACGGGAGGCAGCAGUGGGGAAUUUUGGACAAUGGGGGCAACCCUGAUCCAGCAAUGCCGCGUGAGUGAAGAAGGCCUUCGGGUUGUAAAGCUCUUUUGUCAGGGAAGAAACGGUUCUGGAUAAUACCUGGGACUAAUGACGGUACCUGAAGAAUAAGCACCGGCUAACUACGUGCCAGCCGCCGCCGUAA